rnacentral:rRNA from 1 species
AUUGAACGCUGGCGGCAUGCCUUACACAUGCAAGUCGAACGGCAGCGCGGACUUCGGUCUGGCGGCGAGUGGCGAACGGGUGAGUAAUGUAUCGGAACGUACCAUUCAGUGGGGGAUAACGCAGCGAAAGUUGCGCUAAUACCGCAUAUUCUGUGCGCAGGAAAGCAGGGGAUCGCAAGACCUUGCGCUGAUUGAGCGGCCGAUAUCAGAUUAGCUAGUUGGUGAGGUAAAGGCUCACCAAGGCGACGAUCUGUAGCGGGUCUGAGAGGAUGAUCCGCCACACUGGAACUGAGACACGGUCCAGACUCCUACGGGAGGCAGCAGUGGGGAAUUUUGGACAAUGGGCGCAAGCCUGAUCCAGCCAUGCCGCGUGAGUGAAGAAGGCCUCGGUGUAAGAC